rnacentral:rRNA from 1 species
CACGUAGGGCGCAAGCGUUGUCCGGAAUUAUUGGGCGUAAAGAGCUCGUAGGCGGUCUGUUGCGUCCGCUGUGAAAACUCGGGGCUUAACCCCGAGCCUGCAGUGGAUACGGGCAGACUAGAGGUAGGUAGGGGAGAAUGGAAUUCCCGGUGUAGCGGUGAAAUGCGCAGAUAUCGGGAGGAACACCGGUGGCGAAGGCGGUUCUCUGGGGCCUUACCUGACGCUGAGGAGCGAAAGCGUGGGGAGCGAACAGGGAUUGAGAAACCCUAGGUAAGUC